rnacentral:rRNA from 1 species
GACGAACGCUGGCGGCGUGCCUAAUACAUGCAAGUUGAGCGCUGAAGGUUGGUACUUGUACCAACUGGAUGAGCAGCGAACGGGUGAGUAACGCGUGGGGAAUCUGCCUUUGAUCGGGGGACAACAUUUGGAAACGAAUGCUAUUACCGCAUAAAAACUUUAAACACAAGUUUUAAGUUUGAAAGAUGCCAUUGCAUCACUCAAAGAUGAUCCCGCGUUGUAUUAGCUAGUUGGUGAGGUAAAGGCUCACCAAGGCGAUGAUACAUAGCCGACCUGAGAGGGUGAUCGGCCAAAUUGGGACUGAGACACGGCCCAAAAGCCUACGGGAGGCAGCAGUAGGGAAUCUUCGGAAAUGGACGAAAGUCUGACCGAGCAACGCCGGGGGAGGGAAGAAGGGUUUCGGAUCGUAAAACUCUGUUGGUAGAGAAGAACGUUGGUGAGAGUGGAAAGCUCAUCAAGUGACGGUAACUACACAGAAAGGGACGGCUAACUACGUG